GCAACUCGACUCCAUGAAGCUGGAUUCGCUAGUAAUCGCGCAUCAGCCAUGGCGCGGUGAAUACGUUCCCGGGCCCUUGUACACACCGCCCGUCAAGCCAUGGGAGUCGGGAGUGCCUGAAGUUCGUGACCGUCACAGGAGCGACCUAAGGCAAGACCGAUGACUGGGGCUAAGUCGUAACAAGGUAGC
rnacentral:rRNA from 1 species